rnacentral:rRNA from 1 species
GAGUUUGAUCCUGGCUCAGGACGAACGCUGGCGGCGUGCUUAACACAUGCAAGUCGAACGAUGAACUGGGUGCUUGCACCUGGGGAUUAGUGGCGAACGGGUGAGUAACACGUGAGUAACCUGCCCUGGACUCUGGGAUAACCCCGAGAAAUCGGAGCUAAUACCGGAUAGGACCUUGCACCGCAUGGUGUGGGGUGGAAAGUUUUUCGGUCUGGGAUGGACUCGCGGCCUAUCAGCUUGUUGGUGAGGUAAUGGCUCACCAAGGCGUCGACGGGUAGCCGGCCUGAGAGGGUGACCGGCCACACUGGGACUGAGACACGGCCCAGACUCCUACGGGAGGCAGCAGUGGGGAAUAUUGCACAAUGGGCGCAAGCCUGAUGCAGCAACGCCGCGUGCGGGAUGACGGCCUUCGGGUUGUAAACCGCUUUUAGUAAGGAAGAAGGGGAGCUUGCUCCUUGACGGUACUUGCAGAAAAAGGACCGGCUAACUACGUGCCAGCAGCCGCGGUAAUACGUAGGGUCCGAGCGUUGUCCGGAAUUAUUGGGCGUAAAGAGCUCGUAGGCGGUUUGUCGCGUCUGCUGUGAAAUCCCGAGGCUCAACCUCGGGUCUGCAGUGGGUACGGGCAGACUGGAGUGCGGUAGGGGAGAAUGGAAUUCCUGGUGUAGCGGUGGAAUGCGCAGAUAUCAGGAGGAACACCGAUGGCGAAGGCAGUUCUCUGGGCCGUAACUGACGCUGAGGAGCGAAAGCGUGGGGAGCGAACAGGAUUAGAUACCCUGGUAGUCCACGCCGUAAACGUUGGGCGCUAGAUGUGGGGACCUUUCCACGGUUUCCGUGUCGUAGCUAACGCAUUAAGCGCCCCGCCUGGGGAGUACGGCCGCAAGGCUAAAACUCAAAGGAAUUGACGGAAGGUCGAAU